rnacentral:rRNA from 1 species
CAGCAGCCGCGGUAAUACGUAGGUGGCAAGCGUUAUCCGGAAUUAUUGGGCGUAAAGCGCGCGUAGGCGGUUUCUUAAGUCUGAUGUGAAAGCCCACGGCUCAACCGUGGAGGGUCAUUGGAAACUGGGAAACUUGAGUGCAGAAGAGGAAAGUGGAAUUCCAUGUGUAGCGGUGAAAUGCGCAGAGAUAUGGAGGAACACCAGUGGCGAAGGCGACUUUCUGGUCUGUAACUGACGCUGAUGUGCGAAAGCGUGGGGAUCAAACAGGAUUAGAUACCCGAGUAGUCCCUGUCUCUUAUAC